UGAGGCAAGCAUCACUUUGUGGCUCGCUUU
rnacentral:piRNA from 1 species